rnacentral:rRNA from 1 species
UACGAAGGGUGCAAGCGUUACUCGGAAUUACUGGGCGUAAAGCGUGCGUAGGUGGUUCGUUAAGUCAGAUGUGAAAGCCCCGGGCUCAACCUGGGAACUGCAUUUGAAACUGGCGGGCUUGAGUGUGGCAGAGGGGGGUGGAAUUCCGCGUGUAGCAGUGAAAUGCGUAGAGAUGCGGAGGAACACCGAUGGCGGAGGCAGCCCCCUGGGCUGACACUGACGCUCAGGCACGAAAGCGUGGGGAGCAAACAGG